rfam:Beta vulgaris subsp. vulgaris 2225.scaffold02832.1, whole genome shotgun sequence.
GCCCACUUAGCUCAGAAGUUAGAGCAUCGAAUUUGUAAUGUGAUGCUCAUCGAUUCGAUUCCGAUAGCCGGCU